GAAUUGCGAUAAGUAAUGUGAAUUGCAGAAUUCAGUGAAUCAUCAAAUCUUUGAACGCACAUUGCGCUUUCUGGUAUUCCGGAAAGCAUGCCUGUUUGAGAAUCGAUCAACUCUCACAGGAACAAGUUUGGUAUUCGUACUGAGCUUGUUUCAGUGGAUUUGGGUUAUUUGCGUUUGCGCAAUGACCUUCAAUUCAAUGUAUGGCCGCCGUCUGCUGAUGGUACUAAGGUUUGAGUGCAUGAAUAAGGUUAAUUCCUUUUUGAUUUCCCUCUUUCUGUGUACAUUUUUGGCACUCUGUGGACUUCUCAAAUCAAUUUUCACUACGUGGAUCAUUUUGAUCCAUGUUUUGAACACUUGGUCUCAAAUCAGGUAGGAAAACCCGCUGAACUUAA
rnacentral:misc_RNA from 1 species